rnacentral:lncRNA from 1 species
AAGACAUUUCUGUUUGGAGGGCCUUUGGAGAGGUUGCUCAAAUUAGUCGACAUCUUUCUGAAACAAGCAGCAGUUGUGUGUGCAAGUUGGGAGAAAAUACCGUAUUUCAGUCAGUGCUUACUUUCUCAUGGGAAGAAAGUGUGUGAACAGAUCAGAAAGGCAGCAGAGCUUUUGCAUCUGUGUCAGGGCAAAGGAAAGCUGGCAGUCAGGUGGCUCCCCUUCUCACAAAAGGAACAAGUUGAGGAAGUAUAUACAACAUGGAAGUAUAUAUGGUUCUGCCUGAAUACACCCUUCCUGAGUUCUCUCGUGGUCAGAGGCUUUGAUACAUCACCAGAAACCUACCAUGCAAGGAAUUGCACAUGUGGUUGCUGGUGGAAGAAUAUGUCUUCAAAGCCAAAAGACUGUGCAGUGAUGUUGACCUUGAUAAACAGCUGUCUACAUUUUGGUUGUUUUGAAC